GGAUCCAGCAUCUCUGCAGCUAGAUGAAAAGUGUCCCGCAGCUAUAUUAUCAAAACACAUAGUUUUAGUUUUUGAUUCAUCAAAAGUAUAAUAGAACAACAAAAAACGGCAAUAGAAAUGCUCAAAUAUUGCUAAUAGCCAAUCAAUAGCCUCUUUCACAUAAUGUAAUGCGUUGUAGAGUGUGUCAUGGUGAAAAGAAAGCAAUUAUCAUUACCAGCAUUUUUAAGAACACAAACAAAAUACUAAAAAGGCAGGAGUCCAAGAGCACGAGCUGCAGCAGGUGAUUGAUAAAGCAGUUUGGUUCACACGACUAGCAGUGAUAACGCUAACCUGAUUGUGGAAGGUUUUUAGUAGCGCUAACGAGGCUAAAUGUUGUGAACCUGCUCAUGGCUUUGAAAGUGAGAUUGACUGCCGGAAUUGAAUAAAGUUAACAGCCCAUGUACAGUCAUUCAGGCUUUUAGGGUUUACAGUGACUCAAAUAGACAAAAAAACCCAGAAGCACUGAGGCAGUUGUUGGCUACAGUGAACAUCACACCGAUCUCCAGUGGAGCGCGAGCGGGGUUUCUCCAAAAUUAAUCUCAUUUGUAGCUCACAACAUGAAUCCCUUCUCAUCCACACCAUCUCGUCUCUGAUGUUUUUGAACAUUGUGGGUCCACCGCUUACAAAGUUCAAUCCCGAGCUGUUUGUGCAUUCAUGGAUAAUUAAGGGACACAGGGAAGAGGAGGAGGACACUGACAUGACAGUUUUGUGGAAUUUUUUGUCUUGGGUAAGACAAUUUUUUUCCUUGACUCCAACCAAGCAGAAGCCACAACUGAGUCUAUUGAAAGCCAAGAUCAACUGAUUAAACAGGUGGAAUCAGGUGUGGCUGCUGCUUGGUUGGAAUGAAAACCUGCACCCACACCGGACCUUUCCGAAUAAGAUUGGACACCCCUGCGUCUACCAUAUGGAAGGCACACUGCAGAAACCUACAGAGCGCGGUGAGAUCAGUUAUGCUCAUCAUUGGCUGAAAACCCUUCUCUACUGGAUAUUUACCUGAAAUGAGAGCCACAAAGAUCACUGAGGACAGCAAUCACCCAGAACACACACUCGCUUACACAUUGUACAAUUACUUUGUCCACUAACCACCUAUACAUAUUUACAUCUUAUGCAUUUUUCAUAAAUUUUUGCAUAUUUACCUAUGCAUUUUCUUUUGUAUUUGUAUAUUUUGACUUAAAUUUAGGAAAUCUUGUAUGUUAAUCUAUGUACAGUAAUUGUUCAUGGAGCUACCACAAGAACCCCAAUGUGCAGGUUUCCGUGUCAUCUGUGCAAAUGACAAAUAAAGACUUUGACUUUGGAACUAUGACAUAAACACUCUCACUGUGUGUAGUACCACAAACUUCCAGUAGAGACCACCAAAGCGCUGCUUUUAUUCCUUUAAUCACCUCACCCCAGAACAAAAC
ensembl:lncRNA